GAUGAACGCUAGCUACAGGCUUAACACAUGCAAGUCGAGGGGAAACGACAUCGAAAGCUUGCUUUUGAUGGGCGUCGACCGGCGCACGGGUGAGUAACGCGUAUCCAACCUGCCCACCACUUGGGGAUAACCUUGCGAAAGUAAGACUAAUACCCAAUGAUAUCCCACGAAGGCAUCCGAAUGGGAUUAAAGGUUUAUCGGUGAUGGAUGGGGAUGCGUCUGAUUAGCUUGUUGGCGGGGUAACGGCCCACCAAGGCUACGAUCAGUAGGGGUUCUGAGAGGAAGGUCCCCCCACAUUGGAACUGAGACACGGUCCAAACUCCUACGGGAGGCAGCAGUGAGGAAUAUUGGUCAAUGGACGAGAGUCUGAACCAGCCAAGUAGCGUGCAGGACGACGGCCCCUAUGGGGUUGUAAACUGCUUUUUAUAAGGGAAUAAAGUGAGCUACGUGUAGCUUUUUGCAUGUACCUUAUGAAUAAGGACCGGCUAAUUCCGUG
rnacentral:rRNA from 1 species